CAGCCACACGUGGGCAUUGGCUCACGGGUGACCGAGUCUGAAGAGGCACUGGUUCUGGAGAAGGAUGGCAAGUCUGAGCCUGCGACAGAGAGAGGGAACCGGGCAGCUGUUUCCCUUGCCGAGGAUACAGUGUCUCUAGAUGGUUGAUGAUUCUAAGGAAUGAGGAGCUCCCAGCAAGAUUGUUUCCCGUACAGUCACGCCUAUUUGGCUGAAAAAUGAGACACGGAAGUGAGUUCAGUGGAAAUGUUUCUCUCCACCCCACCCUACGCUUCCCACCACCAUCUCCGCAACCCCUACCCGAGACCCACACCCCCAAUGCCUCCACCUUAACUUGAAUUCCCAAUAAAUUUCGCUUAUGGCUCUUG